AACAAACCCAAUUGCCAGGCUUCUUGUUUAGGUAUUUAUACUCAACCAAUUGCAAGAUCUCAAAAAGUCUCCAAACUGAGCCUUCGACUACAGAGGGGAUGGUGGGUAGAGUUCUCAGCAUCUUAAUCUCUUUUAGCUAGGAGGGUUGGUCACCGCCAUGAUAGAUAGGUUUAAAAGAUCCUAGGGUCCCAUCAAACCAAAGCAAAGAACCCUCUCCCAUGAGAUAGAACUAUAAUCUCCGAG
rnacentral:misc_RNA from 1 species